UGUUUGUAGGAAAAUUAUAUAUUUGGUUACAAAUAUUUUCUGCCCGGUGAAUUUUAAACGGCCGCGGUACUCUGACCGUGCAAAGGUAGCAUAAUCAUUUGCCUCUUGAUUGGGGGCUGGAAUGAAUGGAAAUAUCGAAACUUUCGCUGUCUCUUUUUUUGUUUUGGAAAUUGCUGUUUUUGUGAAGAAGCAUUGGUUUGGGAGAAAGACAAGAAGACCCUAUUAAACUUAAUUGUUUUGUCUCUAGACAUUGUAGAUAUUGUUUGAGUGCAUAAUAAUUUGGUUGGGGUGAUGAGAAAAGAGUUGAAAUCUUUUUUUUUUAGAGAAACGUAAUGGUUUAAAAAGGUUAAUAAGGUGUUUAGAAAAAAUGAAAAGUUACUAUAGGGAUAACAGCGUAAUUUUUUCUGAGAGUUCUUAUCGAAGAAAGAGAUUGCGACCUCGAUGUUGACUUGUUGUUUCCUAUUGGUGUAGAAGCUAUAAGGGUUAGUCUGUUCGACUAUUAAAAUAAU
rnacentral:rRNA from 1 species